rnacentral:rRNA from 1 species
AAUAGCAUAUUCAUUUGACGUUAGCUGCAGAAGAAGCACCGGCUAACUCCGUGCCAGCAGCCGCGGUAAUACGGAGGGUGCGAGCGUUAAUCGGAAUUACUGGGCGUAAAGCGCAUGCAGGUGGUUUGUUAAGUCAGAUGUGAAGACCCGGGGCUCAACCUCGGAAUUGCAUUUAGAAACUGGACAAACUAGAGUACUGUAGAGGGGGUAGGAAUUUCAGGUGUAGCGGUGAAAUGCGUAGAGAUCUGAAGGAAUACCGGUGGCGAAGGCGGCCCCCUGGACAGAUACUGACACUCAGAUGCGAAAGCGUGGGGAGCAAACAGGAUUAGAUACCCUGGUCG